UACAGAGGUCCCAAGCGUUUGUUCGGAUUCACUGGGCGUAAAGGGUGCGCAGGCGGCCAGGUGUGUUAGGCGUGAAAGCCCGGGGCUUAACCCCGGAAUUGCACCUAAAACUACUUGGCUAGAGCAUUGGAGAGGGUAGCGGAAUUCCUGUGUAGCGGUGUGAAAUGCGCAGAUAAUCAGGAGGAACACCGGUGGCGAAGGCGGGUCUCUGGGCCGAUACUGACGCUGAGGAGCGAAAGCGUGGGGAGCGAACAGG
rnacentral:rRNA from 1 species